CCGGAAUAGCUCAGUUGGUAGAGCAGAGGACUGAAAAUCCUCGUGUCACCGU
rnacentral:tRNA from 1 species